AUCAAACAAGGGCAUAACAACGUAUCUCAAAAUUUGACAAUUUUGAGGGCAUCUUAUAAAAAACUGUAUAUUAGAAAUAUGACCAUGGUGGUAAGAAAACAUAUCAUAACAGGUAAUCCCGCAUUGUCGUUAUGAGUUCAUUAGAAGAGAUCUGUGGAGCGGGCGGUGGAGACGAGCACUGUUCCAAUCUUCCUCUAAGAUUAACAUGAAAAGGUCUACAAUACUAGACUACCAGGUAAUCUCCUCUUUCAGUCUUGAAUGAUUUAUCCUCCAUUGACGAUAGUUUUGACAAGAAACCGCGCAUUCCUGUACCUCCAGCUCCAUGACGUGGGGUCGUCGUGACUGAGCUCCGUUAUAUACUGUAUCUUGAAUUAUCUAAAGACUUGUAUGUCUAGCAAAUUGAUGGUUGUCAACCGUUGUAUAUGCCGACAUUUUUAUUGAGGAGUAUGAUACUGGCGAUGAUGAUAAUCAUUUUAUCAGAGUAUGGACCUAUGACCAUUGACCAGAGCCGCAGCCAGGUCAUGUCCACCAGCUAGCAUACGGCUUGUUUACGCAGCUACAUCUUGCAUUACAGUGAAAACAACAGUGUGAUGUUGUAUACCAGAGAUGAUCCAUAUUAAGUUUUCGUUUGGAGUGGAUUUGCCAAUUUGAUCUGAAAUGAUAUGAUGAUCAUGGCCCUGGAAAGUGUGAGUGCUGCGUGUGUUACUUUCCAUAGGCAAGACCCCCGUGGAAUUCCGCAACUGGCUGAUGGAGAGGGUAUGGUUUACGUGCAGACUGGUGACUGAAGGAGUAACCAGAGAAUUGGAGAUGGAACACCCCCCCCCCCCCGGAAAAAAACUGAGGUCAUUAGAAAACAUGCUCCACAUUUCAAGCAAGAAGGACAGAUUUUGAAAUCCGACGGGACAAUCGUUAAAACAGUUCUUCUAAGAUAGAGUGGGCUGGCUACAAAGAUCAACGAGGUGGACCAUGAACAAGGCGCAGAUUAUGUAGUUGCUAUGC